rnacentral:snRNA from 1 species
AUGCUCUCUUCAGCAGCACAUGUACUAAAGUUGUAAUGAUACAGAAAAGAUUAGCAUGGCACAAGAAUGACGUGCAAACUUGUGAAACAUUCCACAUUUUA